rnacentral:lncRNA from 1 species
CCAGGCUUCCUUGCCCACAUGAUUUAGGUGGAAAGAAGCAUGGUGGAAUCUGCAAUGUUUCACCACCCUGUCUGAGCCUUUCUUUUCUGGAAAGGUGUUCUUAUGAACUCAAGAAAAACCAAGCAGAGAAAGGACUGAUUCCACAGAUUCUUGUCCAGUCAUUCCCAACACCAGCAACUCAAAUCAUGUCGACUUUGGUUUUCCAGAUUGCUGCAAGACAAUUCAAGUCGAAAAAGUGUAAGCUGAGUUAUUUCCGUUCGUACUGUAUCUCUGUGUUUGCUGGUCGAGUUUGGUACAACUUACAGCUUCAGAAUUACUGUAUAAUGCUCAGAGGUGUGAAAUGCCAUUUCAGGUAAUUCCUUUCUUCAGUUAAUAUAGAUAAAUAUUGAUGGCGGGCGGCAGUAAAACAAGUCAUUAAAUUCUUCACUGCAAGUGUGUCCCACACAUUGCUGGAAGCUACAGAAAUCUCAUCGGGCUCCAAGAACCACUGCAUGUGAUUAGCGAGUACUUCCAUUUCCAGCUUUCUUCUUCCAAAUUGGAGUGUGAGGGAGCUUGGGCAAGGCCUGGGACCAAUGGACAGGGAAUGGGAGCGAGAUUGCCUUGCUGGGCUUUCUAUCCACCCACUGUACUCCACCACCCUAAUGAACCCCUGGGUGAACCAGAAAGCUUUGAAAAAUGGCAAUCAGCUCCAAAUGGGAGGUCUGGUGCUCUGAAGACAAAGAAACUUUAAAUCUAAACUAGUAACCCUAUAAAACCAGCUAAAGAUUUGGAGGAGUAAUAAACAUCUCUCUGCUGCUGCUGUUUCGAUUAUUUGACUUCAGCAUCUGUUGCGGGGAGGCAGAGGCUUGGCUUGGCAUGGGGGCGGGUCUUCUGG